UAUACGCUACAAGUUCUGUUUUUGCCGCUGAAAGGCUCAUGUUGUUAUUCUACAUGUCUGGCAACAUUAUGGAAAGGAUUCCUACAGUGAGAGACCUUUAAAACC